AGGGAACACUAAUACCGCAUACGUCCUACGGAAGAAAGGGGGGGAGCUUCGGACCUUGCGCUAUCGGAGGAGCCUAUGCCGAAUUAGCUAGUUGGUGAGGGAAGGGCUGACCCAGGCGACGAUCCGUACCUGGUCUGAGAGGAAGAACAACCACACUGGCACUGAGACACAGACCAGACUCAUACGGGAGGCAGCAGUGGGGAAUUUUGAACGAUGGGCGAGAGCCUGAUCCAGCCAUGCCGCGUGUGUGAAUAAGGACUUCGGAUUGUAAAUCACUUUUAUUUGGAAGGAAGGACAGCGCCCUAGUACCUAGCGGUGAUGACGGUACCGACACAAUAAGCACCGGCUAACUCUGUGCCAGCAGCCGCGGUAAUACAUAGGGUGCGAGCGUUAGUCGGAAUUACUGGGCGUAAAGCGCGCGCACGCGGUCUGUUAAUAUGGAUGUAAAUGCCACGGGCUCAACCUGGGAGCUGCAUCCGUAACUGGCAGGCUAGAGUAAGGCAGAUGGAGGUGGAAU
rnacentral:rRNA from 1 species